GCCGAAGUGGUGGAACUGGCAGACGCGCCGGACUCAAAAUCCGGUGGGGCUCACACCCCGUGCGGGUUCGACUCCCGCCUUCGGCACCA
rnacentral:tRNA from 10 species